rnacentral:lncRNA from 1 species
AUGCUUACAAUUGAACGCUAUUAAUACAUUGCAUGCUACUAUAAAUAGUUGCUUGCAUGGACAUGCUUAUCACUCACAUACAUAAUCUACAAGUGAACAAACGAUGUGUAUACAAUGAAAAUUAUAAUCUUAUGAAAUAAUUAUGCCAAAAUAUGUCAUGUCUUCACUACUGUUUAAAUUGACUCAUGCAUAUAACAUGUCAUCACUUACAUGUAUGGAAAAAUUAUGAAAUUAAUCUUAUGUUGCACCCAUACUACAUUAUGUUAUAUCUUGAAUAUAAUAUAUUGAGCAAAAUCAACAUCACAUGGUAUUGGUAAUCCAAACCUUACCUCAUGGCAUUGAGAAUCGUCGUCUGCACAUUCUGCAACCUCGAUGCUGCAACUUCAUCUAGCAAACCUGUCGCAACUAGUCACUCACGACAGCUAGGAGCAUGGACUAUCAUGAAUUGUGUAAGGAAUACGUUGAACACCACAAAAGGUAUGAUCUAAAAAUAUUUAUCUAGAUAGAUAGGUUAAAACAAAUCUGAAUUUAGAUCUGGUAAACUAAAUCUUUGGAUGAAUCUCAAUGAUGAGAUUCACCAAGUAGGGUCUAUGGGUUAUUGAAAAUCAAACCCUAACGCUGCUAACUUUUCAAAAGUUAGACGUGAUCAACCAUGGUGUUGUGUAAUCAUGUGUUUUGAUUAGCUUGCUAUGGCUACUCGAUGCCAUCUGAUUUAGAUGUUCCUUUUUGGUUUGAUCGAUGGUGUUCAAACACCACUAUAACAUCUGUUAGAUAGAUGUUUCUACUUUGUUUAAGCCUGUUUUGUUUAAGGUCUAACCAUAGACCUAAGCUUGCUUUAUUUUUAGUGAAAAACUUCAAUGAAAAAUCAAUUUCUCACUAAGUAUUAAAGACUUAAGAAUAGAUAUGACUCUCAAAUAGUUCAUUAUCAAGAAUUAUCAAGAAUCAUCAAAAAUCCAACCAUUAAAUAAAUAUGAUUAACUCCAUAUCUUCAAGAUCUUUUAGAGAUUCAAAUAUUUAAGGGUUGCAUGGAUAAACUAGAAACUUCAAGGGCUUAAACAUAAAUUAUUUUUGAAGUUUCUAAGUUUAAAAUGAUUCACUGAAACUUAAGGAUUAAAAUGAUAUUUUUACAGUGAAUAUAGAGUUAUGUAAAACUUCAAAGACUUAGAAAUAAUACUUACAUGAAGUUUUUUUCAAAAAUUAUUUAGAAAUAUUUAAUACUUCCAAGGUUUAAAAUGAAAUUUUUUAAGUAUUAAUCUAAGUAUUUAUCAUAACUUCAAAGGGCUUAUAUCAAAUUUUUUAAGUAAAGUUUUACCAAGACUUUAAUGACUGAAAUGAAAAUUUUUAAAUCUUUCAAAAACUUAGUGGAUAUUUACAUUAUUACAUACUAGCCACUAAGACAUAGAUUUUAAAACUUUAAGUGCUUAAAUCUUCUUAAAGUCAUUAGUGAAUCAUGUUUUAUUAAUACAUCAUUCACUAACAUAUUUUAUGGAUUAUAACAUUAUAAAAUCUUUAAUUCAUACAUGUUAAGAUCAUCUUCAUCCAUAACACACACAUGGAUUAUUAUUCAUUGCAUGAUCUUAACACAAGGCAAUUUAAAUUAUCAUACUUGCCUUAUAAAUGUAUAUCAAAAUUGGCUUCAAUCCAAUAUUUUAUCAAUAAGCAUAAAUUACAUGUUAUUUCUCCUAUAUGAUUGACUAACACUCUUAUAAGCAAGACGUCACAUUUGGUCAACCACACAAAUCGAAUUUGUGAUCAAAGCUCAAUAAGGUAUGAAGUUUUAUUUUCUCCACAAAUUAGAUAUGUCCUAUCAUUAAGGGGGAGAUACUUCACAGGUAUCUAUUUUUAACUUUGUCGAUACCUUAUUAUUUUAAGGGGGAGAAAUCAUGCAUGAUCUGCUUUUAAAUUGAAUAUUAUGGGUCAAUAAUUCAGGGGGAGCAUGCUCAUAAGGGUAAAAUAAAAUAUUGACUAAACAUGAAUUAAAACAUAUAUGCCAUCGACAAAGGGGGAGAAUGUAGAAUCAAAAUUGUCGACAUAGGAUUAUAUUUUAAUCAUGUCAAUUUAAACCCUAAUUAUACUAUUAAUCAAUAAAGGUUAAAUAAGUCAAUCGAUAUUAAACCUAACUCCAAUUAAUUAAUUAAUCAUUUGAGUUAAGGGUUUAAGUCAAAGUUAAAAGUCAAAUUGGAAGAAUUGCAUUUCCACCUUGAAUAUUAUUAUUUGGAAUAAUUACAUGUCUACCUUGAAUAUUAUUAUUAUUAUCUUUUGACACUUUAUUCAAGGUAUAAUAUUCCAAGGGAACAAAACACUAUUCAUGGUUGAAUUAUUCAAAGAUAAGAUUCUUCAAGGACAACACACUAUCCAAAGAGAUAAGACCAACACACUAUCCAAGAAUUCAAGAUAAAAUCAAAGACAAAGCUUGGAUUUUUGUGAAAAAUCAAGGAGUCAUCCAUUGAAGAUCCAAGGGUGGACAUUGAGUGGCCAAGGCUAUAAAUAGAAGGGUAAUCCCCUCAUUUUCACUCACCACACUACAAGCAAACUCAAGAGCUUUCACUCCACACUUGCCCACACGUUUUUGCCUCCAAGCUUCCAAGAUUUCAAGUGCUCAAGUGUCCUAGCUUUCCAAAGUUUCAAAAGCUCUCAAACUUCUUCUAAUCUUCUUGUUCAUCUUUACAAGUAAGAAGUGUUGUUUGCUUUAAUAUUUCACUCCUCUAAUCACCUCUUGUGUGUGUCCACUUUUGUUGAAAGGGUUGUCUCAAUAGUACCAAAGUGUGAGAGAAGGUUUUCGAGCUCAACUAUAAAGCUCUAGUUUGGUUUUAUAGAGUUUCCGGGAAAACUCUUAGGUCGAAUCUACCUUGAAAGAUUUUUAGGUUUUUAAGAGUUCCUUGAUACUCUAAGGUACUAAGAAGGCUAUUAUCCCCCCUUAUAGCCUCGGAUCACGAUCCAACAGAAAUCACCGAUCUUCUUGCACAAGAAGAGAUAUCGAAAGAGGACAAACAAAAGAAAAUGCUGCCACUUAUGCAAGAUGGCAAAAACGGCGUCUUAGUACGUGGCCUUGAAGAGGAGAUGGUAAAGAAUUCUAAUGAAAUUUUUGCUCAUUUAGAAAGAGGGUUUGCAAAACGGCGCACUGCCGAAACUCUAUUGAACAAGCAAUCGAGUCGAUCACAUUCAUUAUUUACUGUAACAAUUCACAUCAAGGAGUCAACUCUAGAGGGUGAAGAAUUUAUAAAAUGUGGAAAGCUCAAUUUGGUUGAUCUUGCCAGGUCAGAGAAUAUUUCUCGAUCUGGUUCUAGAGAGGGUCGGGCACGAGAAGCUGGAGAGAUAAAUAAAAAUUUGCUUACUUUGGGACGUGUGACUACUGCUCUGAUACCAUGUAAAAAUAGAAUUUAUAAGGUGUUUAUGUAAUUCAGUUCAUACUAAGGACGAAUAAAAGCAACUAAUUCAAUAAUCUGAAUUUUAUUACAGAAUUCUAAUUCUUGGGGGAAAUCGAAUUGAAUUCAGUAAAAUUGAAUUUCACCAUAGGAUUUGUACACAGGAAGACAGACAAAAUAGAAUAGCUGUCUUUUAGGGAGUUUCAAAUCAAUUCAGAUAUCAGUGAAGUCCAAGAAUAUUCUGCAUUGGGUAAAAUUCUUCAAUGUUCUGACUCAAGAUGAAUGAUUGAAUUUAUAAGAUGAAAAAACUGAAUUGAAAAGUGUAAUUGAAUUAAAAAAAAGAAAGAAAGAACUGGACAGAACAGAACAGAACAGAACAGAAUUAAAAUAAAUGAAAUUGAACAAUUGAGUUAAGUGAAAGAAAUAACAAAACUGAAAUGAGUAAUUGAAUCAAAAGAUAGAAAGAAAACAGGAAUGAAUUAAAAUAAAUGGAAUUGAACAAUUGGGUUAAGUAAAAGAAAUAAUAGAACUGAAAAUUGUAGUUGAAUUAAAAGAUAGAAAGGAAAACAGGACAGAAUUAAAAUGAAUAGAAUUGAAUAAUUGAUUUAAAUGAAAGAAAGAGAUAUUUAGAUCGAUCAACAAAUCUCCUAUUUUAACAAGUCAAGAAUCAAACUGCAGAACAUUAAUUAGUUUGGUAUUACUAAAAUGAUUUGGAUUUGACAAACAAAGAAAAUACACAUUUUAUUCUACAAAUGUUUGGGGGGAACAAGAAUUCAGAAAAGAAAUUUUAACAUGAAGCAGAUCAUGAAAUCAAGAAACAUGGAAUUUGAUUAUUGUAUUAGAACUUUGGACAGCAAAACAAUGGAAUUUCAACUGGAACAAGAUACCUGAAAAGAGAGAAAUGAAAAUCCAACGUUUUACAAAAAUGACAGCGAGAACACCGAGAUCAACUUCGGAAGAACAGAGAGAAGAAACUCACAAAUGGAAAAUGAUUUCCGAUACCUUCUCCCACUGUUCU